rnacentral:miRNA from 1 species
GGUUUCUCUGUGUAGCCCUAGCUGUCCUGGAACUCACUCUGAAGACCAGGCUGGCCUCGAACUCACAGAGAUCCGCCUGCCUCUGCCUCCCGAGUGCUGGGAUUAAAGGCGUGCGCCACCACUGCCCG